rnacentral:rRNA from 1 species
AACGUAGGGGGCAAGCGUUGUCCGGAUUUAUUGGGCGUAAAGAGCGUGUAGGCGGCCAGGUAGGUCUGCUGUGAAAACUCGAGGCUUAACCUCGAGAUGUCGGCGGAAACCAUCUGGCUAGAGUCCGGAAGAGGAGAGCGGAAUUCCUGGUGUAGCGGUGAAAUGCGCAGAUAUCAGGAGGAACACCAAUUGCGAAGGCAGCUCGCUGGGACGUUACUGACGCUGAGACGCGAAAGCGUGGGGAGCAAACAGG